AAAACAGAUAAAUUUUAAUGGGCAUAUCACUAAGGACCAGAGACUCCAUGUCACAGAAAGGCCACUUAUCCAAGAAUUGGGAGACCCAGGUGUCCAAGGGA